rnacentral:misc_RNA from 1 species
UUUCCGUAGGUGAACCUGCGGAAGGAUCAUUACAGUAUUCUUCUAAACUGGAGUUGUAUACCUGUUAAUUGAUUUGCUUGCGCUGCUGAAAUAUUGCGUGCGCGGCAAGAGAUUAGCUGGUUGCAGUUCUAUUCAAGGUUUAGAAAACCCCAUACACACUUUGUAUUCUUAUUAGAGACAAAUUUGCUUUGGUCAGUGGCUGUGUAAAAGCAGCACGUCUGGCCAGAGGUUUUAACAAAACUCAUUUUCAUUUUCCCUCGGGAAGAUUGAGAACUUGAUAUUUUAUUAUUGUCAGCUUUAAAGAGUUGCGUAGCAGCUUUUCUAAACUUUAAAACUUUCAACAACGGAUCUCUUGGUUCUCGCAUCGAUGAAGAACGCAGCGAAAUGCGAUAAGUAAUGUGAAUUGCAGAUUUUCGUGAAUCAUUGAAUCUUUGAACGCACAUUGCGCCCUCUGGUAUUCCAGAGGGCAUGCCUGUUUGAGCGUCAUUUCCUUCUCAAACCCUUGGGUUUGGUGAUGGGCAAUACUCUCGUACGAGAGUUUGCUUGAAAUGAAUUGGCAUGGGUUUUUGUUAUGAACUACAGCUGUUUAUUCAAUGUAUUAGGUUUAAUCCAUCGUUGAUUGGCAAUUGUUAGCUUCUCUCAAAAUUUGGCCCUGCCUUACAAACUUUAUCAUAAAGUUUGACCUCAAAUCAGGUAGGAUUACCCGCUGAACUUAA